CUUAUGAGCAAGGAAAGCGUCUGGAUUCAAACUUUUUAUACGAAAAUCUGAACAUUCUGCGGAGCAAAGACAAGCACGACCAUACGCCAUUUUGUAUGCCAUUUUGUUUUCCACCCUUUAUAUCAACCUAAUCUUUGACAGUUAGGUCUAAGGUCUUGACAGAUAGGUCAAAGAUCAUCUUCUGCCAGCUAGCACACAUUCACGUGAACAAACCGUGAAACACACUGUGAACCAAUUGAAAACCUUGUACGACUCGGUUCUGUGCUUUGACCAAUCAUAGGGCACAACACAGCCCAUCCUAAUUGGCACUUAACAUGCACGAGUUCAUGCAAAAUAACGUAAUUUACUCUGAGAUGUCGACAGAGUAACAUUAUCGAAAGAUUUUCCCACCCACCCACCUCUCCUCUGCUUACCUUCACUGUACUCCAUUUUUAAAA